AAGAACGAUGUUAUAAAUAUUGAUGUCAUUGGAUUUGUUGCACGUGUUCACUUGCAUAUCAGCGGACAUUUACAUGAGAAACUUAGAAAUGGACUCUGGGAAAUGCAUAUUUGAACAGUGUAUACUUUAUUUCUUUUAGUUUUCACGGUGUCUGCUGAAAAGAGAGAGAGACAGAAAGACAAAUAAACAGCAAAAAAGACCUCUGUAUGAAGCGUGGUUAUUAUUUCAUUAGACCAUUGCAGCUACAGUGAAAACGUACCGUGACAGCUUCCAUUGUGGCACGGUACCGGUCGGAUAAGAAGAGAAAACAAGACCGCAUCGGAAAGAAGGAGGAAACACGAUCGCGUGGGUAGAGAAGGCGUCAGAGAAGAGGCUUGCCGUUUCAUAGCUGUCACAGCCGAGGAAAGUACUGCGACCCGAUUUGUAGAGGCGGACAUUAGCCGUGUAGGCUACCGCCUUGCAAGUAUCCUUUCUACAGGCUUCAGAGUACACUGUUUGUUAAUCCCAACGUUACUUCAAGCUGAAGAGUCCUGCUCUGCAAUUAACAGCAGGUUUUGAAAGCAUGCCUCCUGCUUGUGAGACCACACCCACUCGUUCUUUUGUUCUAGCAGACAUCUGAGUGGAGCAGAACGUGUUGAUAGCUGGGGAAUGAAUUUGGCCAGAUUGGACUGUCCUGUUAGCUCCAGAACCUGCUUCAGUCAUGCAUCAUGUUCCUGCUGGUUGGAUCCCCACACAAGUGAGGAUUCAUUCAAGCUGCACUCUGUGGACUUGGAGAAGCAGAUCUGCGACCUAUAGGUGAAGCUAGCUCAGCUGUGACAGCGGAAAGCCUCGCUGGAAUCAUCCUGGACUGACGCUUACCUGUCCCAGGUAAAUCCGCAGCAUGAAACAAACACUCCCACAACCUCAACUCCGUGUUCUUCUCUGCCCAGGCCCAGCGCACCAAGGACGCGGCCCACCCAGGUUUCGUUCACUCCGGUGCCGGGGUACCAUGCAGCCUGGAUGCAGCAGCAGCGGAAGACAUGAGCCAAGCCCCGGGCGAGGACCUCUCCCCCUCCGCUACCACCAGUUUUCGAGAUCUCGACCCGCAAACCCUUCGCUCCCCUCCGUGAGCCGGAGUGCGACGCGGUGAUCAUAGGAGACUCCAUUGUCCGGCACGUCCGUGCAACCGAGGCUAAAGGUAAGGUGCGCACUCGCUGUUUUCCUGGUGCUUGUGUUGUUGAUGUUGCUGCACAGGUACCCGUGAUCCUGAAUAAGAACAUCGGAGCUGUGGUUCUCCAUGCUGGCGCGAACGACAUCAGGCUGAGGCAGACGGAGAUCCUGAAGAAGGACUUCAGGAGCCUGGUGGAGAAGGUUCACACCACAUCGCCCACGAUGAGGAUCAUCAUGUCAGGACCACUUCCCACAUUCCAGCGAGGAAUCGAGAGCGUCCUAGGCUCUACCGUUCUGAUGGCCUGCACCCAAGCAGAGUUGGAGCAGCAGUCGUCUGGGACAACAUCUCCAGGACACUAUGCACCAUCUGAUGGGUAAGUCAUACCUUAGAUUACAAUUAAAAUAGCUACUGUUCAACUCACCAGAUUGAUACAAAUGCACACACAGCUCGUCCUAUAGAAACUGUGUCUGUUCCCCGAAUAGUGAGCUCAAUGGAUAUAUUCAUUAAUAGCUUUCGAAAUAAUCUAAUCACAAUUAAACCUGACAAAGGCCAAAUAAGUAAAGAAAAACAAUUUCUAAAGUUUUGGCUUCUCAACAUUAGAUCCCUUGCACCGAAAGCAAUUACUGUCAAAGAAAUGAUCUCAGAUUAUAGUUUCGAUACACUCUGUCUCACGGAAACCUGGCUUAGACCAAAUGAAUACAUUGGUCUGAAUGAGUCUACUCCAUCAGGAUAUUCCUAUAAGCAUGAGCCCCCUCAGACUGGUCAUGGUGGUUGCAACCAUCUAUAACAAUUCUCUUACCGUUACUCAGAAAAUAGGACCCAGGUUUAGCUCAUUUGAAGUGCUUAUCCUUAAUGUUGCACUCACUGACAUACAUAAAAAAUCCCUACUAUAUCUUGCUCUGCCCACCGUAUAUAGACCCCAGGGGCCCUACACUGAUUUUCUUAGAGUUUGCACACUUACUCUCAGAUCUUUUGAUCAGUUUUGACAAAGUGUUAAUUGUAUGAGACUUUAACAUUUAUGUAGACGAUGCUAAUGAUGCUUUAGGACUCACAUUUAUAGAUUUACUAAAUUCUUUUGGGGUUAAACAAACAUUAAUAGACCAACGGGCACAAAGAGCUAUUUAAACUCAUCACCACGGCUAAAUCAACAACGUAUUUGUUAGAUCCAAUUCCAACUAUAUUGCUGAAAGAAGUAAUACAUGCAGCUGGAGAGCCUCUUCUCAAUAUUAUUAAUUCCUCGUUAUAUCUAGGUCAUG